UGACGCUGGCGGCAGGCCUAACACAUGCAAGUCGAACGGUAACAUUUCUAGCUUGCUAGAAGAUGACGAGUGGCGGACGGGUGAGUAAUGCUUGGGAACUUGCCUUUGCGAGGGGGAUAACAGUUGGAAACGACUGCUAAUACCGCAUAAUGUCUUCGGACCAAACGGGGCUUAGGCUCCGGCGCAAAGAGAGGCCCAAGUGAGAUUAGCUAGUUGGUAAGGUAACGGCUUACCAAGGCGACGAUCUCUAGCUGUUCUGAGAGGAAGAUCAGCCACACUGGGACUGAGACACGGCCCAGACCCCUACGGGAGGCAGCAGUGGGGAAUAUUGCACAAUGGGGGAAACCCUGAUGCAGCCAUGCCGCGUGUGUGAAGAAGGCCUUCGGGUUGUAAAGCACUUUCAGUUGUGAGGAAAAGUUAGUAGUUAAUACCUGCUAGCCGUGACGUUAACAACAGAUGAAGCACCGGCUAACUCCGUGCCAGCAGCCGCGGUAAU
rnacentral:rRNA from 1 species